rnacentral:rRNA from 1 species
UACGAGGGGUGCAAGCGUUGCUCGGAAUUAUUGGGCGUAAAGGGUAGGUAGGUGGUCUCAUUUGUCUGGGGUGAAAGCCUCGAGCUUAACUCGAGAAGUGCCUCGGAAACGGUGAGACUAGAGUCUUGGAGAGGGUCGUGGAAUUCCCGGUGUAGCGGUGAAAUGCGUAGAGAUCGGGAGGAACACCAGCGGCGAAGGCGGCUCACUGGCCCGGUACUGACGCUGAGGCGCGAAAGCGUGGGGAGCAAACAGG